UGAACGCUAGCUACAGGCUUAACACAUGCAAGUCGAGGGGCAGCAUGGUCUUAGCUUGCUAAGGCCGAUGGCGACCGGCGCACGGGUGAGUAACACGUAUCCAACCUGCCGUCUACUCUUGGACAGCCUUCUGAAAGGAAGAUUAAUACAAGAUGGCAUCAUGAGUCCACAUGUUCACAUGAUUAAAGGUAUUCCGGUAGACGAUGGGGAUGCGUUCCAUUAGAUAGUAGGCGGGGUAACGGCCCACCUAGUCUUCGAUGGAUAGGGGUUCUGAGAGGAAGGUCCCCCACAUUGGAACUGAGACACGGUCCAAACUCCUACGGGAGGCAGCAGUGAGGAAUAUUGGUCAAUGGGCGAGAGCCUGAACCAGCCAAGUAGCGUGAAGGAUGACUGCCCUACGGGUUGUAAACUUCUUUUAUAAAGGAAUAAAGUCGGGUAUGGAUACCCGUUUGUAUGUACUUUAUGAAUAAGGAUCGGCUAACUCCGUGCCAGCAGCCGCGGUAAUACGGAGGAUCCGAGCGUUAUCCGGAUUUAUUGGGUUUAAAGGGAGCGUAGAUGGAUGUUUAAGUCAGUUGUGAAAGUUUGCGGCUCAACCGUAAAAUUGCAGUUGAUACUGGAUAUCUUGAGUGCAGUUGAGGCAGGCGGAAUUCGUGGUGUAGCGGUGAAAUGCUUAGAUAUCACGAAGAACUCCGAUUGCGAAGGCAGCCUGCUAAGCUGCAACUGACAUUGAGGCUCGAAAGUGUGGGUAUCAAACAGGAUUAGAUACCCUGGUAGUCCACACGGUAAACGAUGAAUACUCGCUGUUUGCGAUAUACAGCAAGCGGCCAAGCGAAAGCGUUAAGUAUUCCACCUGGGGAGUACGCCGGCAACGGUGAAACUCAAAGGAAUUGACGGGGGCCCGCACAAGCGGAGGAACAUGUGGUUUAAUUCGAUGAUACGCGAGGAACCUUACCCGGGCUUAAAUUGCAGAUGAAUUACGGUGAAAGCCGUAAGCCGCAAGGCAUCUGUGAAGGUGCUGCAUGGUUGUCGUCAGCUCGUGCCGUGAGGUGUCGGCUUAAGUGCCAUAACGAGCGCAACCCUUGUUGUCAGUUACUAACAGGUUCCGCUGAGGACCCUGACAAGACUGCCAUCGUAAGAUGUGAGGAAGGUGGGGAUGACGUCAAAUCAGCACGGCCCUUACGUCCGGGGCUACACACGUGUUACAAUGGGGGGUACAGAGGGCCGCUACCACGCGAGUGGAUGCCAAUCCCAAAAACCUCUCUCAGUUCGGACUGGAGUCUGCAACCCGACUCCACGAAGCUGGAUUCGCUAGUAAUCGCGCAUCAGCCACGGCGCGGUGAAUACGUUCCCGGGCCUUGUACACACCGCCCGUCAAGCCAUGGGAGCCGGGGGUACCUGAAGUGCGUAACCGCGAGGAGCGCCCUAGGGUAAAACUGGUGACUGGG
rnacentral:rRNA from 1 species